GUCAGCAUUAUGUUUCUCAGAACAGUUAUAUUUGCGUACUGCAUCUUAUCUUGAAGGGCAAAUCUAUUAAAGACUCACGAUCAGAGCACCUCAUUAUUGUGGAUGGAGGGUAUCAUUGUUAUUUCAGCCGAAUCAAGGGACUAAAUGGAUUGAUGGAACAUUACCUGUGACAACUUCAAGCUGGUAGACGUUGUUGAUCUGGGGUCCAUGCUGGAAUGCCUGCCCGCUAAUUCCAGCAUUUGACAGGGUACCCCCAACAGUGAGAUGAAGGUAAUCU